rnacentral:rRNA from 1 species
GACGAACGCUGGCGGCGUGCCUAAUACAUGCAAGUCGAACGCAGUGGGGCCGGGUGAGUAACACGUGGGUAACCUCCCAUCAGAGGGGAUAACACUUGGAAGCAGGUGCUAAACCGAUACUGAUGGAUGGACCCGCGGUGCAUUAGCUAGUUGGUGAGUUAACGGCUCACCAAGGCCACGAUGCAUAGCCCAUCUGAGAGAGGGAUCGGACACACUGGGAGUGAUACACGGCCCAGACUCCUACGGGAGGCAGCAGUAGGGAAUCUUCGGCAAUGGACGAAAGUCUGACCGAGCAGCGCCGCGUGAGUGAAGAAGGUUUUCGGAUCGUAAAACGCUGUUGUUAGAGAAGCGGUAUCUAACCAGAAAGCCACGGCUAACGACGUGCCAGCAGCCGCGGUAAUAC